rnacentral:rRNA from 1 species
UACGUAGGGUGCAAGCGUUGUCCGGAAUUAUUGGGCGUAAAGAGCUCGUAGGCGGUUUGUCACGUCGGAUGUGAAACCCUGAGGCUCAACCUCAGGCCUGCAUUCGAUACGGGCAGACUAGAAUUCGGCAGGGGAGACUGGAAUUCCUGGUGUAGCGGUGAAAUGCGCAGAUAUCAGGAGGAACACCCGUAGCGAAGGCGGCACUCUGGGCCGAUACUGACACUGAGGAGCGAAAGCGUGGGGAGCGAACAGG